rnacentral:lncRNA from 1 species
GUGUGUGUGUGUGUGUGUGUGAGAGAGAGAGAGAGAGAGAGAGAGAGAGAGAGAGAGAGAGAGCUCUGAAAAACAUACAUUUUGGCACAAGACUUGUAACAUCACAUACUUACUGGCUUUGAGGCCCUGCUUGAAGCUCUAGUUACAGCCUUGUCCUCUAAGAAAAGUCUGAAGGGAGUCCAGAAGCUCCGUGUUAAGGGUCCCUUGAGUUCUUUUACUGUAAACAAACGAUGCCUUAAAUCGUGUCUCGUUUUCUGUUCCUAUGGGUGCUAUUCAUCUGGACGGCCUGUUCCCUGGGCCCCAGGCCCUCCUGGGUCUUGUUGUCAGCCCGCCUGAGGCAGAAUCAUUUCAGGACCGUGUAUUGGACACUGGCCUGCUUGCUCCCUGCCAUGAGCUUUCCUGGUGGGCCUAUGGCCUUCCUUCUCUUUCCCACUCCUGCCAUGCUGGUGUGGGAAUCUGGGGCCUUUUCUCCCAGCAGCUUGGAGGCCCCCAUAGUGAUCGGUGGUCAGAAGCUAUGCCACCCCGCAUUCUCCCACAGGACAGAAUUGUGCUCCUGUCUUCUCACCCUUGCCACCACUGCCAGGGCCGGCCACACUGAUUCCUGAUCACACAGGGAGCUGAGUGACACGGAGGCCUUAAGCCCCCUCAGUC